rnacentral:rRNA from 1 species
CUGGGUAGCUAUGUGUGGCAGGGAUAAACGCUGAAAGCAUCUAAGCGUGAAGCCCCCCUCAAGAUGAGAUUUCCCAUUUCUUCGGAAAGUAAGAUCCCUGAAAGAUGAUCAGGUAGAUAGGUUUGGAGUGGAAGUGUAGCGAUACAUGGAGCGGACAAAUACUAAUCGAUCGAGGACUUAACCAAAA